rfam:Schistosoma mansoni strain Puerto Rico chromosome 1, complete genome
AUCUUUCUGAUGAGUCCCAAAUAGCACGAAACCUAGGUCCAGGGU